AAGUCGUAACAAGGUUUCCCUCCGCAGCUGAGCUUCGGAGACCUUGCAGCCCUUCUGGGGAGGCAGCGCGACUAUAAAUAAGGCUGGCCAUUUGCAAGUUGACCGUGAGGUCAGCGACAUAAUCGAACUGACGGGGACUUCCUAAAGCCUGCAGCACCACCCGGACGGGGAAACUCGUCUGGUAUGGUAAGAGCCUGUAGGAUGCACAAUGGAUAAUCCGCAGCCGAGCCCCUACUGCAGAAGCUAUGGGGAAGGUUCACAGACUAGGUGAUU
rnacentral:misc_RNA from 1 species